rnacentral:rRNA from 1 species
CACACCGUAAACGAUGAAUGCUAGGUGUAGGUGGUAUCGACCCCCUCUGUGCCGUCGCAAACGCAAUAAGCAUUCCGCCUGGGGAGUACGGUCGCAAGAUUAAAACUCAAAGGAAUUGACGGGGGCCCGCACAAGCAGCGGAGCAUGUGGUUUAAUUCGAAGCAACGCGAAGAACCUUACCAGGUCUUGACAUCCAAUUAAAGCUGUAGAGAUACAGUGUGUGCUUGCACAAAUUGAGACAGGUGG